UACGGAGGUGGCGAGCGUUGUUCGGAAUCACUGGGCUUAAAGGGCGUGUAGGCGGGACGCCAAGUGUCGUGUGAAAGCCCCGGGCUCAACCCGGGAAUGGCUCGGCAUACUGGCGUCCUUGAGGCAGGUAGAGGUGACUGGAACGACUGGUGGAGCGGUGAAAUGCGUAGAUAUCAGUUGGAACGCCGGAGGCGAAAGCGGGUCACUGGGCCUGUCCUGACGCUGAUACGCGAAAGCGUGGGGAGCGAACAGG
rnacentral:rRNA from 1 species